UAUAUCUCACUAUUAUAUAAUACAAUAUAUUCCGAGAUGGGCGGAGUGCACUCGACACGCCAAUGGCUGGAUGACACAGCAACGCAUGAAUGUAGCACAAUAGAGGGACAAAUGCGACCGAUACAAUUUGCUCGCAAUUCGCUCAGGGAAAUGUGGGCCGUUAAAAGAUCAAUAUGACACCAUAAGCCAACAAGUUUUUCACAGAACAACGUUCGAGGGGAUCGACAUUCGUGCUAGUGACCAUUUCAUAGCUAGCAUCGUGCUUCACUGUUUUUAUUGUAGGUUGUGCAUUUGUAGAGUAUGUAUAGUAUUUGGGGUAUGUUAUUACUCACAAUUUCUUGUAUUUGUUGCAUCAAAACUGUAUAUCUAAACUUUGGGUUUGCAAAUCGCAUUAAAACACACAAAUCUUGAGUAUAUUACUUUUAUGUUUUUAUAUUCUUUAUAUAAUUUUCUUUGUAUGUAUGCUAGUAUUCAGAAGAGAUUUAGAAAAUAAUGGAAAUAUUUCUUCUUUUUCUUGUAAUAACUUUGUGCGACAAUUAUUUAGGGACAGUUUAAUUUAUUUUUAGGCAACAAUUUAUUUUUAAGCUUAUCUAUAUUUUAUUCCAAAAUAUUAUUAGUUGUUAAACAUUUGCUACUGUUGCAUAGAAUACAUAAUGAUGAAAUAAGAGAGCGAUAUCGUCGAUAGUUAUUUUUUUAAAAUAACUACUUUUGAAAUGUCAGUUAUGUGUUAUAAUGUGUAAACACUCGAAGUGUCAGUUAUGUGUUAUAAUGUGUAAACACUCGAAGAAUAUUUAGAAGAAAGAAAAAAUUUGGCGACUUUUAAAUACUAAUUUUUGCUGUUUUGUUGCAACGCCGCAAGAAUAUCAACAUCUAUGUGUUACUUUAAUAUCAUAUAUAAUAUAUUUUACUUAAAUUUUAUUUAUAGUAGAAAAAACAUCUAUGAUAUCCACAUAAUGAGAGAAAUAUGAUUUAAUUUGUUUUAAGUAUCAUCUCUGCAUUUAAUAAUACAACAAUAACGAAAAUUCAAAUAAUAUUAAAUAAUUUUGUCAUGCAUGAAAAUAUAUGUAUAUUCGUAAAGAGAAGAGAGUAUAUGAGUAGUUUUUAAAGUAAGUGCAUUAUAGCGAAAGGUUGAUUAUUAUAGUCAUUAAAUGAAUUAAUUUAAAAUCAACUAGUUUUUCAAAUAGAACAUUAUAUACAUUAUCACAAUACAGCUGAAUCUCGGUAAAAUACAUAAGAAUUCAUAAUUUAUUAUAAUUUUGAAUAAAGAACAAGCGCACAAGAAAUGCCACAUGCUAUAAAAUGAUUACUUCAAUUGUAAGCAAGUACAAAAAUAUAAUCAUUCAAUCGGCAGAAA